UACGGAGGGUGCAAGCGUUAUCCGGAUUCACUGGGUUUAAAGGGUGCGUAGGCGGGUUUGUAAGUCCGUGGUGAAAUCUCCGAGCUUAACUCGGAAACUGCCAUGGAUACUAUAAAUCUUGAAUGUUGUGGAGGUAAGCGGAAUAUGUCAUGUAGCGGUGAAAUGCUUAGAUAUGACAUAGAACACCUAUUGCGAAGGCAGCUUACUACACAAAUAUUGACGCUGAGGCACGAAAGCGUGGGGAUCAAACAGG
rnacentral:rRNA from 1 species